AGAAAGUUCGCUAAGUGGCAUACCUCAAAUUUUAGGGAUAAGAAAAAAUUAAUAAAGCAAGGGUCAUGCAAUCAUCAUUUUGCUUGGCAUAGCGCACCUCAAUUUAUUUUAUUUAAAAGGUCUCUACACUAAUUCAUAAGGGCCAUACACUAUGAGUUAUCUAAUUACAUCGCGCCUCGAAUUUACUUCUAAAAGCCUAAUAAAUUGAUUAAAGACGGUUUCAAAGAAGUAGUAAGUACUCUAAACCAAAGUCCAAACCCAAUUUAUUUAAAAGAAAAGGCCAACAAUAAUGAGGCUCAACUUGCAUUAUUAUGAAGCCUGGCUUGACGCGAGGUCCCUAU
rnacentral:lncRNA from 1 species